UGGAGAAUCUUGCACAAUGGGCGAAAGCCUGAUGCAGCCACGCCGCGUGCGGGAAGAAGGCCUUCGGGUCGUAAACCGCUUUCAGGGGGGAAGAAGCGUCAAGUGACGGUACCUCCAGAAGAAGGACCGGCCAACUACGUGCCAGCAGUCGCGGUAAUACGUAGGGUCCGAGCGUUGUCCGGAAUCAUUGGGCGUAAAGCGCAUGUAGGCGGCCAUGUAAGUCGGAUGUGAAAUCCCGAGGCUUAACUUCGGAACUGCAUCCGGUACUGCGUGGCUUGAGGAAGGUAGAGGAGAGUGGAAUUCCCGGUGUAGCGGUGGAAUGCGCAGAUAUCGGAGAACACCAGCGGCGAAGGCGGCUCUCUGGGGCCCUUUCCUGACGCUGAGAUGCGAAAGCGUGGGUAGCGAACAGGAUUAGAUACCC
rnacentral:rRNA from 1 species